AAUCAACGCUGGCGGCGUGCCUCAGACAUGCAAGUCGAACGAUUAAAGCUCUCUUCGGAGAGUGUAUAGAGUGGCGCACGGGUGAGUAACACGUAAGUAAUCUACCUUCGAGUGGGGAAUAACGUCCGGAAACGGACGCUAAUACCGCAUAAUGCAGCGGCAUCGCAAGAUGACAGUUGUUAAAGAUUUAUCGCUUGAAGAGGAGCUUGCGGCAGAUUAGCUUGUUGGUAAGGUAACGGCUUACCAAGGCUACGAUCUGUAUCCGGUCUAAGAGGACGGUCGGACACACUGACACUGAAUAACGGGUCAGACUCCUACGGGAGGCAGCAGUCGGGAAUUUUGGGCAAUGGGGGAAACCCUGACCCAGCAACGCCGCGUGAAGGAUGAAGUA
rnacentral:rRNA from 1 species